rnacentral:misc_RNA from 1 species
UCUGCAUAUACUUCAAAGCCUAGCUUAUUGAUCUCCAAGCCAGUUAAUUGCCGAAACCAAUUUUUCUUUGGAUCUUCUGGCUUCUUUUCUAGAGGUAAAUGAAGCCCUAAACCUCUCUGUUGCUUAAUCCUGUAAAAUGGUUUCCAUUCACGCACUUUAUCCAAGUUUAUUUCACGUUGUAGAUGUAAAGCUGCAAGACAAAAAAUUACCAAAAUGAGAUUAUACAGUCAUCCUAAAUUGGAAAAAAAAUGCAUGCACAUGUGAACAAGACAAGUACUUCCCAG